AUUAUUAUUAUUUUUUAUUUAAAAUUACUUUUCAUAAGUAUAUUUUAAGUUUCAUUUUUGACGUGUGUCUAGAGCACCCAUUUGUAUGAAAGUUCUAUUUGUUCCAUGGGUAUCUUGGCACACCUAUGUCUACAUCCUCAUAUUUUCAUUUUGGGUACCCAAGAUUGCUUGGGUCCUUGAGAGUUAGGACAUAUGGUUCCUUUUGGAACCCAAAUCU
rnacentral:lncRNA from 1 species